GGUGCAGAUGAUGGUAUUUAGCGAUCAAAGCAUGAUCUGGCAUGAUUACAGCUUAUGAACGCUGAUGCACC